AUGGUUACUCGAUAGUAAUGUAAAACUCUGUUGAACAAUGUCCCGUGACUUGGAUAAUACACCAGACUCGUGAUGUUGCUAUGGAAACGAGCAAAUAUGGAUGUCAAGAAAUCAGAUUGCACACGUUUUUUGGAACGAGUGAAACUGUCCAGCGAGGGAAUCGCCACGUGUACUUUUUCAAUUGGACGUUGUUAGAUAAGAGGAAUUCAACUUUAAAUCCGCAAUGUUAAAGCACCUGAUGAAUCACUGGAAGACACAUCGUCAGAGUUCGCCUUACGUCGUUUCUGAUGAUCCAUUUUACUGUACAGACUUAUCGUCAGGGUCUUCGUGGGACAAAAAUAUUUAUUCCGUUAAUCGAGUGAAUCCCAUUUAUCAAAACUCUGAGAAUAGUGAUUUAGAGGAGUGUUCGUCUGAGAGGGAUUGCGAAAACUGUCAAGCAAACUUUGAUUUGAAAGAUGUAUAUAAACCACGGUGCUCUACUUGUGGCUCUUACCCUCCCACGAUAUCGUAUGGAAUAACGAGGACAUUUGGGGACAUUACGCUCCCCCUUCUCUAUUAUCUUCUGAAAUUUAUCUACCGUCUAUGGAAAAGAAGGCUUCUGAUGUAGAUGGAUUUGACGUCUCUCUCAAACCACCUUUGAACCGAUGUUUAACAACCAAUGCUAAACUUGCUAAUAAAUAACGCCAUUUUUAUAUGGUGGCCAAAUUAAAAAGGCUUACGAAGAUUUCAGAACAAAAAAGGCAAGAAACAGUUUUGUGUCCCGUGGUCCUGUGUCAUCGGAAACUGAAGACAGUGGUAUUCAAAUAGGGAAUU